UACAGAGGUCUCAAGCGUUGUUCGGAUUCAUUGGGCGUAAAGGGGGCGUAGGCGGCGCGGUAAGUCGGGUGUGAAAUCUCGGAGCUUAACUCCGAAACUGCAUUCGAUACUGCCGUGCUUGAGGACUGGAGAGGAGACUGGAAUUUACGGUGUAGCGGUGAAAUGCGUAGAUAUCGUAAGGAAGACCAGUGGCGAAGGCGAGUCUCUGGACAGUUCCUGACGCUGAGGCACGAAGGUCAGGGGAGCAAACAGG
rnacentral:rRNA from 1 species